GGGGGCGCUCGGCUCAGCGGCGCGCAGGGGCCGGAGCGCGGCGUCCCAUCGGGGCGGCCCCGUCCGUGGGACCGGGCGGCGAGCUGCAGGGUUGGGGGAGGAAGUCAGGCUGCAGGCCGCCGGGGCCAGAGGGCUGGGCCGGGGGCAGGAAGCUGCGGCGCUGGCUCCCCCCUCGGCGAUUUUCGAACUUCUGCUGUCGCUCCCCGUGCGCGCAAACCGCAGUUCGCCGCCGCCGCCGGGCACCCAGCCCCAGGGGGGCGGGCUGGAGGGAGGGGGCGGGCGCUGGCCGGGGGACCCCCGCAACCAUGGCGGGCGGGGAGUGGGCUGCCGAGCCGCUUCACCUGCCGCAGAGGGGGCGGCCGGCGCCGCUUCACCUGCCGGAGCGGGAGGCCACCGAGGCGAGGCCGAGGCGGCGGCGCGCUCGGCGGCGCCUCCGGGUCCUAGAACCGCAUCCUCCCGCUCGCCUCGGGCGAGGGAUUGGCCGGGUCUGGGUGAAGGGGGUCACGCCCUGGGGAUCGGAGGGGCACAUCUUCUCCGCACCGAGGAUCUCAGCGACUGCGAGCACGGCUCGGAGACCCACGGUGGUGCAGCGUUGGCGCGCCAGGGCUGCGUUCCCGUCUCGGGUCCCGGACUGAGAAGGCCACUGACAAGACUUUAAGCAAGAGACGGAAAGUUAACAUCUAAUCCGGAGGAAGACCCUGGAAGGAGCCAGCCUCUUCCCCCAGGCUGACCUGGUUUAAGCCUUUCUUUUGCCAAGGUCACCAGCACCCCAGAUGGGUGAGAGAUGUGAUCACUGGUUUCGUGGCCUGACCAAGGACCUCCAAGUUCUGUGGCAGAUGAGAAAUGCCUCGGUCCUUGGGCUGCUUGCAGCCUAGCGAGGGACAGACUUUUAACCUCUCUAGGAGAGUGGCUGCUUCAAGUCAUCCUAUGGGACCAGCUGUUCAUGCUUCCUCUUGCCCAGAACUACUUCUGUGAGAGGAAAAGAGAAGGGUAGGAGCGUGCCCUGCAGCUGGAAACCCAAGCCAGGCGGGGAGCCACGAAUGCAGUAGUUACCAGACUGUAUCUUCAAUCCUGGGGGCUUCUCAAGCCAUUGCCAGCCACUCUUCACCCAAGGCCUGGUGGAAUAAAGCUGGGCUAAGUAACACCUCUUCUGUGGAAAAUUAUUGUUUCUGCAAGCCUAUAUUCAUUCUCUCUCUCUCUCUCUCUCCUCAUGUGGAAUGCAGCCUCUGAGAAAAGCACUUCUCACCACUCA
rnacentral:lncRNA from 1 species